ensembl:misc_RNA Metazoa_SRP Metazoan signal recognition particle RNA
GCCUGUAGUCCCAGCUCCUUAGGAGGCUGAGGUGGGCGGAUGGCUUGAACCCAGGAGUUCUGGGCUGUAAUGCACUAUGUUGAUUGGAUGUCUGCAUUAAGUUUGGCACCAAUUUGGUGACCUUCUGGGAGCAGGGGACUUCCAGGUUAUCUCAGGAGGGGUGAACCGGCCCAGGUCAGAAAUGGAGUAGGUAGAAACUCCCGUGCUGAUUAGUAGUGGGAUAGUGCAUGUGAAUAGCCACUACACUCCAGCCUGGGAAACACAGCAAGACCCUGUCUCAU